AAAUAUUGUCACUAAAACUUGCAUUUACGUUACUAUUUGUAUUUUGUGACAUAAAUAUUGACGUCGCGACGAACGUUACGCUAGGUGUGUCAUUAAAUGUCAAAUGUAACAAUAUAUAUAUUUCCGUCACAUUUCCAACAUAUAGUGACGUUGAUG